rnacentral:rRNA from 1 species
CCUACGGGGUGGCUGCAGUGGGGAAUAUUGGACAAUGGGCGAAAGCCUGAUCCAGCCAUGCCGCGUGUGUGAAGAAGGCCUUCGGGUUGUAAAGCACUUUCAGUGGGGAAGAAAGCCUUGGGGCUAAUACCCUCGAGGAAGGACAUCACCCACAGAAGAAGCACCGGCUAACUCCGUGCCAGCAGCCGCGGUAAUACGGAGGGUGCGAGCGUUAAUCGGAAUUACUGGGCGUAAAGCGCGCGUAGGCGGUCUGAUAAGCCGGUUGUGAAAGCCCCGGGCUCAACCUGGGAACGGCAUCCGGAACUGUCAGGCUAGAGUGCAGGAGAGGAAGGUAGAAUUCCCGGUGUAGCGGUGAAAUGCGUAGAGAUCGGGAGGAAUACCAGUGGCGAAGGCGGCCUUCUGGACUGACACUGACGCUGAGGUGCGAAAGCGUGGGUAGCAAACAGGAUUAGAUACCCCGGUAGUC